rnacentral:misc_RNA from 1 species
CACGAAGAGGCCUCCAUCGGUCUUUCAACCUUGCCUAUCGUACCCUUUUUGUUGUUCCCUCGGCGGGGUAAAGCCCGCCGGCGGGAGGCUCGAAAAACCCUUUGCAAUCAGCAUCCAAAAACUCUGAUUACAAAACCUUAAAUCGUUA